rnacentral:lncRNA from 1 species
GCAGGAGCAGUCCAUCAUCAUCGCCUCACUGAUCCACGUCGUCUCCGGCCACCCCCCGGAGGUCCCACUUGCCAGCACCUGCGGUGUAUGCGGCAUUGCCGGAUGCCUGGGCUGCGACUUCUUCGUCUCCGCCGCGGAUAACGAGGACGCGACGCCGCCUGCAACCUCGGAGAUCACUGAUGGGAGUGGCGAGAUGCAGGUAAGGAGGAGGAAGAAGAAGAACAAGUACCGAGGCGUGCGACAACGGCCGUGGGGGAAGUGGGCGGCGGAGAUACGCGACCCCAGGCGGGCGGUGCGGAAGUGGCUGGGGACGUUCAACACCGCGGAGGAGGCGGCGCGGGCGUACGACAUGGCCGCCAUCGAGUUCCGUGGUGCGAGGGCCAAGCUCAACUUUCCUUUCCCGGAGCAAC